CUGAAACUUUUUAUUAGCAAACAUUGUGAAGGGGAUAAAGAUGUAUGUUGGUGAUUAAAGAUCUACUACUACUUCAUGAGUAUAUGUGAGUGGGGCAAGCUAGGAAGAUUGAAUUCCUUUUUGAAAAAAAUUUCAAGCUGGGAAGCUGCUAGUAGUCAAGUAUUGAAGAUGUAGAGGCCAUUAAAGAUGACUUAGAGCCCAAUUCCACCUGUGAGUUGUGCAGCAAUCCAUCAAUUUGGAUAAUCUUGAUGGGCUUAAUUAUCUCUCCUAGAGGCAUUUAACGGUGGUAAUUGGCAUGUUGCAUCUGCUUAAGAAGGGAGCUUAAUUAAUCUCUCUGAUUUUAGUUUCAAUUGUCUCUCAUUCAAUAAGGGCUGCAUCAAUUACGAAGAAGAAUGUUUGAGAUCAAAAUCGAUGAGCUUGAAUAUGAACAAUCACCAUAUCCACAUGUACAAGAGGACUUAGCGGAGAUCACAAUGAAUAACCUUACCAUUUGAAAAUGGGCAUUAAGGAUAAUUGAGAGCUGUGGAUUCCUUGUGGAUGUAAGAUGCUAUUGCAGAGUAAGCAAAAUAUGCAAAUAGAGUGGUGAGGAGUAGAGGAAGAGAUUGGCACAACUUUUUUAUGAAAUUAAAUAGAAAAAGGUUUUGAAGCAACUUGGAGGGAAAAUGUAUUGAAAUUUCCUUGUUUUGUUGAGAUGAAUAUGUAUCUGUUACAUACAACAAGUUUCAUGUGAUACUUGAAUGUCAUAUCUGCAAAUUUAUAGGUAUUGACU